rnacentral:tRNA from 1 species
GGUAAAAUGGCCGAAUUAGGUAUAGGAUUGUAGCUCCUGUUAUAAAGGUUAAAGCCCUUUUUUUAUCA